AUUGAACGCUGGCGGCAUGCCUUACACAUGCAAGUCGGACGAGUGGCGAACGGGUGAGUAACGAAUGGGAACGUACCUGGUAGCGGGGGAUAACUGUCCGAAACGAAAGCUAAUACCGCAUACUAUUAGAGGGGCCGAUGUGUGAUUAGCUGGUUGGCGGGGUAACGGCUCACCAAGGCGACGAUCAGUAGCUGGUCUGAGAGGAUGAUCCGCCACAAUGGGACUGAGAAACGGCCCAGACUCCUACGGUAGGCAGCAGUGGGGAAUUUUGGACGAUGGGCGCAAGCCUGAUGCAGCCAUGCCGCGUGUCUGAAGAAGGCCUUCGGGUUGUAAAGUACUUUCGGUCGCGAGGCGUUACCGACAGAAGAAGCACCGGCUAACUCCGUGCCAGCAGCCGCGGUAAUUC
rnacentral:rRNA from 1 species